rnacentral:rRNA from 1 species
ACUUAAAUUGAAGAGUUUGAUCAUGGCUCAGAUUGAACGCUGGCGGCAGGCCUAACACAUGCAAGUCGAGCGGUAGCACAGAGAGCUUGCUCUCGGGUGACGAGCGGCGGACGGGUGAGUAAUGUCUGGGAAACUGCCUGAUGGAGGGGGAUAACUACUGGAAACGGUAGCUAAUACCGCAUAACGUCGCAAGACCAAAGUGGGGGACCUUCGGGCCUCAUGCCAUCAGAUGUGCCCAGAUGGGAUUAGCUAGUAGGUGGGGUAACG